ensembl:lncRNA
GGGACAGGGCUGCACUCCCCUGCCAGGAAGGCAGCAGUGCUGCUAGGCAGCCAGUGGUCUUUCACAUCUCAAAAUGAGCUCCUGUAUCCAUGACAAGAUUCAUUUCACCACACACGAAACAGCACACGCUAUCUGCUUGCUGGGGGCAUCUAUAGGAAACGAGGUGCAGGGAAUUCCCACUUAUCUACAGGAACCUGUUUGCUGUGCUGGUAGCUGCAGCUGCAGACCUGGGGAGGAUGACUGGGAGAUGCAGAAAGUGGACAUUUUGCAAAAUCACAUGAGAGAGUACCCAGCUCAGCUUGCCUCAGUCCUGCUGUCUUGCUUCCCCAUGGAAACG